rnacentral:rRNA from 1 species
GACGAACGCUGGCGGCGUGCUUAACACAUGCAAGUCGAACGGAAAGGGCCUGCUCUUGUGGGGUGCUCGAGUGGCGAACGGGUGAGUAACACGUGAGUAACCUGCCCCUGACUUUGGGAUAACUUCAGGAAACUGGGGCUAAUACCCGGUAUGAGCACCUGCUGCAUGGUGGGGGUUGGAAAGAUUCGGCGGUUGGGGAUGGACGCGAGGCUCAUCAGCUUGUUGGUGAGGUAGUGGAGUACAAAGGCUUUGACGCGUAGCCGGCCUGGGAGGGUGACAGGCCACAUUGGGACAGAGGAAGGAGCCGGAGUGCUACGGGAGGCAGAGGUGGGAGAUUGUGCGAGAUGGGCGGAAGCAUGGUACAGGGACGCCGGGUGGGAGAUGACUGUCUGCGGGUAGUAACCCGCGUUAGCGUGUAAAGAAGCGUGAGUGACGGUAAUGGGUCAGGAAGCAACGGCUAACUACGUG